rnacentral:rRNA from 1 species
AUUGAACGCUGGCGGCAGGCCUAACACAUGCAAGUCGAGCGGAGCGGCGGACGGGUGAGUAAUGCCUAGGAAUCUGCCUGGUAGCGGGGGAUAACGUCCGGAAACGGGCGCUAAUACCGCAUCCUAUCAGCUUAGCCUAGGUCGGAUUAGCAAGUGGGUGGGGUAAAGGCCUACCAAGGCGACGAUCCGUAACUGGUCGGAGAGGAGGAUCAGUCAAACUGGAACUGAGAAACGGUCGAGACUCCUACGGGAGGCAGCAGUGGGGAAUAUUGGACAAGGGGCGAAAGCCUGAUCCAGACAUGCCGGGUGUGUGAAGAAGGUCUUCGGAUUGUAAAGCACUUUAAGUUGGGAGGCGUUACCAACAGAAUAAGCACCGGCUAACUUCGUGCCAGCCGCCGCGGUAAUUC